rnacentral:misc_RNA from 1 species
GGGAGUAAAAGUCGUAACAAGGUCUCCGUUGGUGAACCAGCGGAGGGAUCAUUACCGAGUUUACAACUCCCAAACCCAAUGUGAACGUUACCAAACUGUUGCCUCGGCGGGGUCACGCCCCGGGUGCGUCGCAGCCCCGGAACCAGGCGCCCGCCGGAGGAACCAACCAAACUCUUUCUGUAGUCCCCUCGCGGACGUUAUUUCUUACAGCUCUGAGCAAAAAUUCAAAAUGAAUCAAAACUUUCAACAACGGAUCUCUUGGUUCUG